rnacentral:rRNA from 1 species
AACGAACGCUGGCGGCGCGCCUAAUACAUGCAAGUCGAGCGAGAAAGUGUAGCAAUACACUUGUAAAGCGGCGAACGGGUGAGGAAUACAUGGGUAAUCUACCAUCGAGUGGGGAAUAACCAACCGAAAGGUUGGCUAAUACCGCGUACGCCUCCGAGUCUUCGGGUUCGGAGGGAAAGCUGCACUGUGAGUGUAGCGCUCUUUGAUGAGCUCAUGUCCUAUCAGCUUGUUGGUAGGGUAAUGGCCUACCAAGGCUUUGACGGGUAGCUGGUCUGAGAGGACGAUCAGCCACACUGGAACUGAGACACGGUCCAGACUCCUACGGGAGGCAGCAGUGGGGAAUCUUGCGCAAUGGGGGAAACCCUGACGCAGCGACGCCGCGUGAGUGAUGAAGGCCUUCGGUUGUAAGCUCUUUCAGGUCGGAAGAAACGACAUAGGUUAAUACCUUAGUGUGGAUGACGGUA